rnacentral:rRNA from 1 species
CGCGUAGGUGGUAGUGUAAGUCUGGGGUGGAAUGCCGGGGCUUAACCCUGGAAUUGCCUUGGAAACUGCAUUACUUGAGUCAGUGAGGGGAGGGUAGAAUUCCUGGUGUAGCGGUGAAAUGCGUAGAUAUCAGGAGGAAGGCCUGUGGCGAAGGCGGCCCUCUGGCGCUGGACUGACACUGAGGCGCGAAAGCGUGGGGAGCAAACAGGAUUAGAUACCCUGGUAGUCCACGCCCUAAACGGUGGGCACUAGGUGUAGGGCUCGUAAGGGUUCUGUGCUGAAGGGAAACCAUUAAGUGCCCCGCCUGGGGAGUACGGCCGCAAGGUUGAA